rnacentral:rRNA from 1 species
GACGGAGGGGGCUAGCGUUGUUCGGAAUGACUGGGCGUAAAGGGCGCGUAGGCGGCUUAUCAAGUCAGGUGUGAAAGCCUUGGGCUUAACCCAAGAAUUGCGCUUGAUACUGAUAAGCUAGAGGAUGCUAGAGGAAAGCGGAAUUCCUAGUGUAGAGGUGAAAUUCGUAGAUAUUCGGAAGAACACCAGUGGCGAAGGCGACAUACUGGGUCAUGACUGACGCUGAGGCUCGAAAGCGUGGGGAGCAAACAGG